AGGGUUAUAGUUAAAUAUAUAACAUUUGAUUUGCAUUCAAAAAUUAUUGAUUUAUUCAAUUUACCUU
rnacentral:tRNA from 1 species